rnacentral:rRNA from 1 species
UACGUAGGGGGCAAGCGUUGUCCGGAUUUAUUGGGCGUAAAGAGCGUGUAGGCGGCUGGGUAGGUCCGCUGUGAAAACUCGAGGCUCAACCUCGAGAGGUCGGUGGAAACCACCCAGCUAGAGUCCGGAAGAGGAGAAUGGAAUUCCUGGUGUAGCGGUGAAAUGCGCAGAUAUCGUCAAGAACACCUAUUGCGUAGGCAGCUAACUAAGCUUUAACUGACGCUGAGGCACGAAAGUGUGGGGAUCAAACAGG